rnacentral:misc_RNA from 1 species
GAAAUGCGAUAAGUAAUGUGAAUUGCAGAAUUCAGUGAAUCAUCGAAUCUUUGAACGCACAUUGCGCCCCGUGGUAUUCCGCGGGGCAUGCCUGUUCGAGCGUCAUUACACCACUCAAGCCUCGCUUGGUGUUGGGCGACGCGGUACGCCGCGCGCCUCAAAUCUUUCGGCUGGGUCUGAAUCGUCCCACAGCGUUGUGGAAACUAUUCGCUAAAGGUGUCGCGGUUUGGCCACGCCGUUAAACAAACCCAUUUUUAUUAAAGGUUGACCUCGGAUCAGGUAGGGAUACCCGCUGAACUUAA